UCUGAUGUUUACAGUUAUGGAAUGAUGCUGUUAGAGAUGGUCGGAUGCAGAAAAAAUAACGAUCCUGCGGUUGAAAUUCAGAGCCAAAUAUAUUUCCCAGAGUGGAUUUACAAUAGAAUGAGGCAAGGACAAGAGCUCUGUUUCGAUUUUGAGGAAGAUGGGGAUGAGGGAAUUGCCAGAAAGCUUGCAAUUGUGGCACUUUGGUGCAUUCAAUGGAAUCCCACGGAGAGACCUUCCAUGCCAAUUGUAUUACAAAUGCUUGAAGCUGAUUUACAAAGCUUGGAGAUCCCUCCAAUGCCCUUUGUUUCUGCUGAUGUUGAGGCAGGUGCAAUCAAUUGAUCUAGAUAGCAGAAGAUUACAAUCAAAAAGGGAUAUUGUUAAUUUGUUUCAAAUUUUCCCCGAUUAGAAGCUAAAUUAUUUAGUCCUUCUUGUUAUUGGAACGCUUGAAAACCACUAAAUUGAGUUUUUGUUUGACUGUGGUUGUUUUAUUUAUCGCUUAAAAUCUUUGAUGUGUUCGAAUGAUACAACAUUAAUACAACUAUGGAUGACUUUAGUCUAUUUUUAAACACAUCAUUGAAAAAAAAAUUAAGCAUAACUAUCGCUGAAAGAGCAUUCCUUUAUUGAUAGGCUUAUAGUUCCCAAGGAGGGUAGUUGGCAGAAACUCCAUGAGCUAGGUUGCUUUAGAAAAGGCUCGCGGGAUCGAGUAUUUACAGAACGGAUGUGAUGUGUGCAGUCUUCAUUUCAACAUUUAAGUCUCACAACAUCCUGCUAGAUCCUAAUUCCUUCCCCAAGGUCUCAGAGUUCGGCCCUUGCAAAAUUUCAUCCUAAGGAAAAUGAUUUUGCUCCCAUCAGCGCCACAGGAGGAACAAUAUAUAGGUUAAAAUAUUACCUGAGCUAUGACUAAGGCGCUGAUCGCUCCUCUGUGACAAAAAGUUUUGGAAAUUUUAGAAGGGAGUAUUGACGAUUUGCAAAUGCCUCCAAAACCUUUCUCAUCUUCUUCUCGACAUAUAUCCGGAAGAGAGAUUGAAUCAGAUUCUUCAACAGAGUUGUUAAUGUCUGAAUCAGUGAAGGAAUGAUCUUUCGGUGAUAUUUAGGUUUAAUUUUGCCAAUGAUGAAUGUAAAAUGAAUAAAUGAAUAACGUGCAAUUAAUGACAAAUUGCUUUAUCUCGAAUUGGAGCCUAAUGUACACACGUUUCGCGAGUGAUAGAUAAUUUAGUUGUUGAAAUCUUUUGAGUUGAUACAACAAGUUUGAGAUUUGAAUCUGUCCAUAUGGGUGGCAGAAGAAUUUAACUAGAGGUGUGCCAAGCUUAACUUAAAACUCUGAGGUGGCCACUUGGGCUUGUAGCCCAGUGGUGAAUCAUUGUCCUUAAAAUUAAGCAUGACUAUGAGGGCAAUGGUUUGAGUACCCACAGACUCAAAAACUCCCUCAAUAUUAAGUAUAAUUGUGUGGAGAUUACUUAUAACGUCUUUCUCCCUUGCGAAAUGCGAGUGGAGUAAAGACAUCCCUCCCCCGUGAAGGGUAUUUGGCUGGACAUGUACUUCAUAGAAUAAAAAAUGUAAUAAUAUAAGUUCCAGAUAUAUAAUGACCUGCUAUCAUAGCAGUUGUAAAUAUCUCUAUGACUUGGCUGGUUAUGUACUUCAUAGAAUAAAAAAUGUAAUAAUAUAAGUCUCAUGUAUAUAAUGACCUGCUGUCAUAGUAGUUGUAAAGAUCUCUAUGACCUGCUGUCAUAGCAGUUGUAAAUAUCUCUGUGUAAUAUAAUAACUUGAUGUUUAAUCAGUUCAAAAAAAAAAAAAAAGCUCUGAGGUGGAAAUUUUCUUCAUUAUUUUACCCCCUCAUUGAAAAGUAAUCACAAAAAAUCAGGUCAAUGGCUUCAUUUAGCUUAUUCUUUAUUAUUGUUUUAUGCAAAUGUCAUGGAGGACUACUCACUUGUGGGGUUGCCAUUGACUUAAAUAAAAUGCUUUUAAGCCAUACAAAAAUGAAUGGCUAUCUUUAAUGUUACACUAAAAAACAUCUCUCUUUCUCUGUUAAUCCAUGUCACUUUUUCUGAGUUCAAUAAUUUUCUUCCUUCUCUUCCUUACACAGAAGCCAAAACUUCAUAAGGAAACAGCUAUACAAAUAUUUAUGAACGUUGUCAACCAACAAAAUGAAACAUACCAUAUCAGAUUCCCCCUUUAGAAUCAAAUUUAAAUGAUUAAGAUUGCUGAUGAUAACACAGACCCUACUAAGUUUAAUAAAUUAUUACAAUUUACACACGCACUCUCUAUAUUAUUAUACCCUUUAUUUGAACAACCAAAUGUACUUUAUAAUAACUACUAAUAUAACAUUGAAACAAAAACAAAUGUAAUAAAUAAAAUUAUCAUAUAUUUUAUAUAUCAAAGCAUGUUCUGUGUUGUCAUAAAAAAAAUGAAUUAUUGUCUUCGAGUUUGUGGUGAGAAAUUAAAGUAGCGAGCGAAAGAUGUUGACUGGAUUGUUGCAUGCGUGGAAAUUGUUACAAAAUUUUUGUCUCAAUUUGAAGGUUUACUAAGAAAUUUCAGGUCAAGCUAGGGUCAUCAUCACCGACACAAACUUGCAAUCAAAACGUUUACUAAGAGUUGACUGACUUGUAAGAGUGUCCGGUGUCCCCUCUCGAAUGGAUGCUAAAAGUCUUGCGCUCAAACAAAUUCAAUUAAUAUGCUCUUUGAAACCUUUUCAAUUUCCCCACCUUUGUUUAUUAUUUUUUAAAAAAAUAAGAUAAUACUACUUUUGAACGAUUAAUUAUUGCUAUAUCAUCUUCAGCUAGUAGAAUCAGAUAGUUGAAUGCUAUAAUAAAUUUACUAUAUACACGUGCUCGUUGUUAAGUAAUGAUGUAAAUGCGCACCCAAAACCUUGAAAAUGCAACCUUCGGUUUAAUUUAUUGAAAUUCAUCGUAUCCUGGGAUUGCGCUAACAAUGAGUGGAGAAGAAUCAUUAACUCUCUCAACUCUUCUGUUUUGUCUAUUGAUCUAUCUAUUCACCACUGAAACUGAAGCAAGAGAAGUACUUCAACAAACCUGUUCCUCUUCUUGUGGCGAUAUCAAAAAUAUAAGCUACCCUUUUCGCCUAAAGGGAGAUCCAUCGGGAUGCGGUUAUCCUGAGUUCGAACUGUCUUGCUAGAGCAACCAAACCAUCCUAGAAUUAUUCAAUUCUGCGAUGUACUAUGCAAAGAGAAUUUCCUAUGACGAAAGCACAAUCAGUGUUGCCGAUGUUAACUUGGGCAAUGGAAGCUGCGGCCUUCCAUUCACAUCUUUUCCCAGAGAAAUCUUUCGCCUUAAAAAUAGUCGCUAUUUUUUUUAUACCGAUCGGGUUUAUGCACUUGAUUAUUAUAAAUACCUGUACGCCUAUUUCGUGAAUUGCUCGAGGGAUCUCAUUGAUCAGGCUUUUAUAAGAGUUCCAUGUUUGAGUGGAGGAAAUCGGUCAAAUGUUUAUGUUAAUUACCAUGGCUCCUAUGUAUCAGAUUUUUCAGAGUCAUGCUCGUUCGUUUCAAUGGUUCCUGUACAUAAUGGGAAUGUGGAAAAUCCUUCUUAUGAAACCCUCCGAGAAUUGUUAGAGACAGGAUUCGAUCUUAGAUGGUCAGUUGGAUGCAGGAAUUGUUAUGCAGCGGUCGGUAGAGAAUGCAUUAGUACAGAUAGAACGGGAAAUAUUGAUUGUUUCCAUUCUAGCUCAAUUACAAACCGUAAGCUUAUGCUUAUAUGUGCUUACAAAUAAAUGGAGACUCUUGUAUUUAAUGUUUUCAAUCUUAAUCUUUUACCUAUUUAAGAAUUUGUGGACAAUCUCUAAAAGAGUAUGUAUACCUGUUUGACCCUUAAUAUCUUUUUCUUUUGCACUUUUGCAGUCUUUGCAGGAUGCCACAUCGCACAAGGAGUAUUCAGAAAAUUUAUUUGCUACCAACAACGUUUGACACGUAACAAGCCUAUGCUUACAUAUCUUAGAUCCUGCGUUUGUUUUUGUUGGUGUUAAAGUGAUGGCCUUAUGUGAUUUGUUUAUUUAUUCUCCAAUCUUGUGCUUAAUAUAUGACUUUAAUUUCUGAAUCAUCUCUCUGAGUAUGUAUGUAUAAAGCCUAAUCUUUUUUCCUCGGCCUGCAGUUUCCUACAAACUCCCGACGCCCCUCGAAUGGUUACUGUUAGGUAUGGUUUCCUGGCUGGAAUGCCUGUUCUUGUUAUUUCGAAUUCAGCUACUUACCUAGAAUCAAACUUCCUUGUUUCCAGACGGUGCAUUCAUGUAUCUUACAAUUACUCGGUUCAUCCUUGGUUCAACAGUCUUUCUCGUGUUCCUUAUCCACAAAUACAGAACGACAUUGAAAACAAUUGAUAAUAUUGAGAAAUUUCUGCGUACCCAGCAAUCGUGGAUGCCUAAAAGGUACUCUUACCCUGAGAUAAUUGCCAUGACAAACCACUUCACUCAUAAAUUAGGCCAAGGUGGCUUUGGUUCAGUUUAUAAAGGACAACUUCAUAUCGGUCGCUUGAUUGCUGUUAAGAUGCUGGAGAACUCCAAGUUCAGUGCGGAGGAAUUCAUCAACGAAGUUUCAACAAUAGGUAGAAUUCACCGCGUUAAUGUGGUCCAGUUAUUGGGGUUCUGUUCUGAGGGAUCCAAACGAGCACUUGUCUACGAGUUUAUGCCUAAUGGAUCACUCGAUAGGCAUAUCUUUCCUAAGGAAAGUAGAGGCCAAUCUUUUAGUUGGGAGAAACUCCACGAAGUUGCUUUAGGAACUGCCCGUGGGAUCGAGUAUUUACACAACGGAUGUGAUGUCUGCAUUCUUCAUUUCGACAUUAAGCCUCACAACAUCCUGCUAGAUCAUAAUUUCAUCCCAAAGGUCUCAGAUUUCGGCCUUGCAAAGUUUCAUCCCAAGGAAAAUGAUUUUGUGUCCAUCAGUGCCACAAGAGGAACCAUAGGAUACAUAGCACCUGAGCUGAUUUCAAGGAAUUUUGGAACUGUUUCUUGCAAGUCAGAUGUUUACGGUUUUGGGAUGGUGUUGUUGGAAAUGGCUGGAGGAAGAAGGAAUUCUAAUAUGAAUGCAACUCGUUCAAGCAAAGCAUAUUUCCCAUCUUGGGUAUAUGACCAAUUAAAUAAGGGAGGUGAUUUAGAGCUUCAGAAUAUUACUGAAAUUGAAUCCAUGAUAGCAAGGAAACUGUGUAUGAUUGGUUUGUGGUGUAUUCAGGUGAAGGCAGCAGAUCGCCCCUCUAUGACAAAAGUUUUAGAGAUGUUAGAAGGGAGUAUUGACGAUUUGCAAAUGCCUCCUAGACCUUUCUUCUCUUCUUCUCGACAUAUCUCCGGAACUGGAAGAGAGAUUGAAUCAGAUUCUUCAGCAGAGUUGUUAGUGUCUGAAUCAAUAGAGGAAUGUUCUUUCAAUGAUAGUUUUGUUUAAUUUUUGCCAAGGAUGAAUGUAAAAUAAAUAAAUAAUUAAUAGAUUGCAAUGACAAAGGUUCUCUAUCUUCUUGUUGCUUUAUCUCGCAUUGAAACUUAAUGCAUAUAUUUGUGAGUGCAAGCUAGUUUAGUAGUUGAAAUCUCCUACUCAUAUAGGUGGCAAUAUGAUUUAAUUAGACGUGCGCUAUGCUUUAAAAAGAAAAUAAAAGUCUCUCGCAUUGAUUACAAACACUGGAUAGGAGUUGGAAAUUUUAUUCUGUAUUUUUAUCACACAUUGAAAAUUGAUCACAAAAAAACCAAGUAUACACCUUCGUUCAGCCUAUUCUUAUAAUUGUUGUCCACAAAUGUCAUGGAGGACUAGUCUCUUGUGGGCUGCCAUUGACUUAAAUAAAAUGCAUUUUAUCCAUUCAAAUUCCAAAAAUGAGUGUCAUUUGCUCUUUCACAUUAAGAAAUAUAUCCUCAACCAAGAAGGAAGAGUGAUUAAUAUUAGACGAAAAAGCAUCCCUAUUUCUCAUUUUCUCCAUGUCACCUGUGCUUAGUUUAAUUCUCUUCCUUCUCUUUCCUUACACAGAAGCCAAAACUUCAGAAGGAAACAAUGAUACAAAUAUUUAUAAAUUUUGUCAGCCAACAACAUGCAGCACGAAGGGACCAAAUAUCAGAUUUCCCUUUAGACUCAAAACUCAACCUAUCUCUUGCGGUCUUGAAGGGUUUGAAUUAUCAUGCUUAAACACCAAGACAGUGUUGCACCUUCCUUCCUCUGGCGAUUAUUAUGUGCAGGACAUUUCUUAUCUUCACAGCAGAAUUACCAUUAUGGAUGUACAUGAGUCCACAUGCCCUUUAAAAACCAGCCGAGCGGCUUUGUCAAAUUAUAGAUUGACGUAAAAGGGGAGAACUUAAAUUAAAUAUUUGAAUCUUAUUCUGAUUUUUUAAAAAUAAUUUAUAAGAGUUCAUAAAAAAAAGUUGUAAAUGUGUAAUUUAGAUAAAUAUGAAUACCCAAAUAAAAUUGGGCAAACUUUUAUUUUUCAUGAUGCUUUUUUUUUCCUUUAAAACCAAAAUAAAUUUAGGAUUCAUUUAUGUUUUAAUCACAUGCUUGUUUCAAAAUUUUACUUUCUUACAACGUUUUAUGAUUUUUUAAAAAAAAUGUGCUCGCAUAUUUGUUAAAUUUAAGAAUUAAAGUCCAUGAUAUUAUAUUCAUCUUUAAGUUUCUCGAACAGCUACUUCGGAAGUGAAUCAGACUAGAAGGAAAAAAAAUGAACCAAAAAACGGAACAGUUCAUGGCUUUAUGCUUUUUUAUGGACUGUGGUUGCCUCAAUGAAUAGCCCAAGUGAUUAUUGGGCUUUUAAUUCGGCUCCUAUGAAAGGCCCAAAGCGUCCACGAUGAAGCAGGUCACAGGAGCAGUCUUAAAUCUCAAUUAUGAAUCUCUCUCAACUCCUCAAGCGGGGUUUCAUUUUGAAUGCCGCCAUUGGCCUCAUUUCACAAUAUAGAUAUGCAUGCAUGGAGGAUAUAUAUACACUGGGUGUAGUUGUGUAUAUAUAACUUAUAAAGUUAUAAUUAUAUUAUGAGUAUAUCUUUCAAUGUAUGUAUGUAUGUAUAUAUGAACAAAUAAAAUAAUAACUAUACGAAAAUUUACAAGUAGCACCUGAAAAAAUAUCAGAUCACUUCAGUUUUGAGGUCCAAAUAAUGCUGCACGUUGAUGACGGAAUACAAAGAACUCAAAGAUUUAAAAUGCAUUUGAUUAAUGGCAUUUUAAUUUAUGUGCUCUCUAUUUUCUAUCAACAAAAUUUCAAAAAAUUAGCGCCAUCUACUUCAAUCAGACCAAACACAUGGACCAAAUAUUAAUGAGGAAAAAAAAACCAAUCGAUACGCUUUUGUCUCCACAAUAAUAAAUAGCUGCUGAAUGGCCAUGGAAGCGUGCAUAUCCACAGCAGCAUGGAAUUAAAGUAGUUGAUAAACUGUUUACAGUAGCAAGGACUUUGUAUGCAUGAUGCCAAUUAAAUGGUUGCGGGCUUAAAAGCAUUAAUUUAUGAAGUGCUUGUCCCUUUUAGGCUGGAGAUAAGUCAAGACUACAUUGCUUUCCCUCCUUUUCUUGUUCGCCUUUUGCAAUAGAUACUUUUUUUUUAACUGAUUAAGCAUUAGGUUAUUAUAUUACACAGAGAUAUUUACAACUCUAUUAUGACAGCAGAUCAUUGCACUGAUAUUUACAAUCAUAUAUAUACCUAAAACUUAGAUUAUUACAUUUUUAUUUUAUAAAGUACAAGCCCAGCCAAAUACCCCUCACAGAGGAGGGAUGUCUUUACUCCACUCGCAUUUCGCAAGGGAGAAGGAUGUUACAAGCAAUAGAUACGUUAUUAUAUUGUUUUUUUAGCACAUUUUCAAUGAGACUACUAUUCCCAUAUCGGCUGCCAAGUUAACCAUUUGAUCAAUAUUUUAUUUUAUGGAUUUGAAUUCGACAUGACAGAUAUUAGAAACCAAUGGCAUACAACAUGACCAAAUUUUACAUCAAUACAUACAUUAUACUAAUGCAGCUGCGACAUUUGAAAUAAGCGAUUAUUCCAUUAAAUCCAUUUACGGCAGAACUACAUACCACAUGAAACGCAAUAGGACUCGUUCCAAUGUCACAAAAUUAAUAAGAAAACAUUUCAUAGAGAGGAAAUCUCUGCGGAAGUGAAUUGCCUUCAUAAAAUAUCAUAGUGACACUUGACUCUUGACAGCAAAUAGGGCUACUCAUAGAACCAAUCUUGAAUCGGAAAUGGAGAGUUCUAAAAACCACAUGAAAAAUUAACUUUCGAAGACACAUCAAAAUGUUGCACCAAGCAUAAGAUUCAAGAUAUCCUUAGCUCGAAUCUGUUGUAUGUAAGUUAAGUGGAAAUAUCAGGACACAUUGAUUUUCUUCCCCUCUGCGCCUAACUAGUAUUAUAUCGUUGUGAUGAAUAACAUAUAAAUUGAUCUAAAUUUUUGUCAUAAACUAUAACAUUUGUACUCUAAUCUACUUGAGAUUAAUGAACGUCAUAUAUGAUUAAAAAAAUUAUUAAUUUCAUCUCUUUUGUUAUUCUAAUAAUCUAUUAUAUGCUGUUAUAUCCCAUGAUCAAACUAUGUAUUCGACUGUUAAUUUUUCAAUAUUAUUUUAUUAUAUAUUUACUUGUUUCCAUAAUCACAGUCUAAUUAAGAAUUUAUAUAUAUAUAUAUUUGGACUUUGGUGGUCUCCAUACGAAGCCCAACUCAUAUUGGGCAUUUGAAGUUUAAAUCAUUAAAAAGUUCAAUUAGUCCCCAAUGCGCAAGGAUAGACUAAUAUCCGCAUGGCAUUUUUUGACAUAAUUGAUUUGUCAAAAGUGUGUGUGUGUAUAUAUUGACACACGCGCACGCACGCAUAUAUAUAUAUAUAUAUAUAUAUAUAUAUAUAUAUAUUGUUAUGCGUGGAAUUCUGCAUAUUUUAACACGUGAAUUUACUAAUAUACUGUAUAUUAAUUAAUUGAAAAAAAUUAAUAAAAACACUAAUGGCAUAUUAGUGCCGUCACACACGCCUACAACAUAAAAACUUAUCAUGCAUUAAAUAGAACGCAAUCGUGCACACCGGAUCAUAAUUUUAAUUAUAUAUAUCUUUCUUUAUUCAUAAAAAUAAUAAUAAUAAUAAUAAUAGUAACAAUAAUAAUUACAACAGCAACCACAAUUUUUAGAAACGCGUGAACUUGACAUGAGAAGUCCUCGUUCUUCUGCGUGUCGGUCGCUUUAAAAGUGUUGGUCGUCGGGGGCCGUUCCAAAUUUCCAAUGCCGCGUUUCUCCAAUCCUGUUAAAAUAAACAAAUAAAUAAAGUAAGCCAUUGCGUUUGGUGGUGAGAAAAAUUAAGAAAGCGAAAGAUAUUGACUGGAAUUGGACUGCAUGCAUGGAAACUGUUUCCAAUAAGUUCUGUCGCUAUUAAUAUUGAAGAACGUUUACUAAGAAAUUUGAGGUCAAGCUAGGAUGGGGAUGGAUGGAUCAUCCCAACGUUUACUAAGAAAUUUGAGGUCAAGCUAGGAUGGGGAUGGAUGGAUCAUCCCAUUCCCACCGAUGCUAACUCAUUUACAAUUACCAGGAAAUUAAGCGACUUCACUUUGCCGUAUUGACUUCCCCAUUGAAAUCUGAAAGCUUCCACCUAAACAAAUCGUGGAAAGAGACUUCAGAAGCUGCGUGGCAUCCGCAUACAAAAUUUGCAGUAAGAAACGAAAUUGAACCUGUUUAUCUAGAUUUGUCCCUUUAUCUUCCAUUGCAUUAAUGCUUGAAGCCUAGCACUCAGUAAUUAAAAAUUUUCUUCCAUCGUGUCGAUUUCAUUUUAUGAAUAAUUAAUAUUAUUUUUAAACAAAUUAUUUAGCGCUAAUUAAUUCAAUCACAUAGUUGUAUACUAAACUAUGAUAAGUUUAAAGCCCGCCUCUCACCGUGCAAGUGAAACCGUAGAAAACAUAGCGCAUUAACACUUUUAUACCGUUCUGCUUAGUUUAUUCAAAUUCGUUAAUUGUAUCCUGGAAUUGGAGGAGCAAUGAGUAGUGACGAAGCUUCAAUUUUCUCAACUUUUCUGUUUUGUCUGUUGAUGUUUGUAUUCAUCACCAGUGAAAUUGAAGCAAGAAAACUUGAAGUACAAAUGUGUUCUUCCUCUUGUGGAGAUGUCAAAAACAUAAGCUACCCUUUUCGCCUCAAGGGCGAUCCAGCUGGAUGCGGCCAUCCGGAGUUAGAACUUUCUUGCGAGAGCAACAAAACCAUCUUAGAAUUCAAUUCUAGAAAGUACUAUGUGAAGAGAAUUUCCUAUGAUAAAUGUACAAUCAGUGUUGUCGAUGUUAACUUAGCCUAUGGAAGCUGCAGCUUCCCAUCCACUUCUUUUUCCCGACAUUGUUUCUGUUUCAGAUAUUGUUUUGAUUACAAUCUUGAUUCAUACGCCAAUUACGUGAAUUGCUCGAGUAAUAUUGUUGAUCAGGCGUCUGCGAAAGUUCCAUGUUUGAGUAACAAUCAGUCGAAUGUCUAUGUUUAUUUUGGAUAUGAUUUAAUGGCCAACAGUAUAUCACAUCUUCCAGACUCAUGCGCCUUCAUUUCAAAGGUUCCUGUAGUACUUAAUAGGAGCGUGGACAAACUUUCUUAUGAAGACCUCCGAAAAUCUCUGGAGUCAGGGUUCGAUCUUACAUGGAUUGAUUGGAGCUGGAGCCUCUCAAUGCCUCUCUGUAAGCUUAUGCUUAUAUUUAUUUAUGCAUUCAAAUGCAAGGGCUUUGUUUUUGCUUUUCAAUAUUGUACGUAAUAAAGAAUUUGUGAACUAUCUCUAUGAGCAUACCGAUAUGACCUUUAAUUUCUGUUUCUUUCCACUUUUGUAACAGAUUGCAUCUGCAAUGUAGGUGUAGUGGCAAAGAUAAAUUGCCUCUUAUAUUAUAUACGUAAGCAUAUCCUUAUAUAUCUUUUUGAUCAUGUGUUUUCGACGUUAAUAAAUGCGAUGGCUUCAUAUAUUCUCUAAUCUUUACUCUAUAAUUUUUUCUGAAUCAUCUCUCUGAUUAGGAUAAAGCUUUUAUUUUUUUCCCCCCUCUCUCCAAUUACAGUUUACCGAGUAAUUUACCCAGCAAUCCUUUGGCCUUACAUAACGUACGCAUCAGGAAUGCGGAAUUGGAUAGCUUUUCUGUUAGGUAAAAUCUCCUCUCCAGGAUCCUCUUUUUAUUGCUUUGUUUACUACUAUUUACUUUCAAAUAACGUUCUCCUUACCAGGGUUUCCAUUCGAUGUUCUGAAUGUUCUGAUAAUUGGUAGAUUUAUUCUUGCUCCAAUAGUCUUUGUCGUGUUCCUUAUCCAAAAGUACAGAAAAUCAUUGAAGAGAAUUGAUAAUGUGGAGAAAUUUCUGCACAAUCAGCAAUCGUGGAUGCCUAAAAGGUACUCUUACCCGGAGAUAAUUGCCGUGACAAACCACUUCACUCAUAAAUUAGGCCAAGGUGGCUUUGGUUCGGUUUAUAAAGGACAACUUCAUACGGGUUGCUUGAUUGCUGUUAAGAUGCUGGAGAACUCCAAGUUCAGUGCGGAGGAAUUCAUCAAUGAAGUUUCAACAAUUGGUAGAAUUCACCACGUUAAUGUAGUCCAGCUAUUGGGGUUCUGUUCCGAGGGAUUCAAACGGGCACUUGUGUACGAGUAUAUGCCCAAUGGAUCACUCGAUAGGCAUAUCUUUCCCAAGGAGAGUAGAGGCCAAUCUUUUAGUUGGGAGAGACUCCAGGAAGUUGCUUUAGGAACUGCCCGUGGGAUCGAGUAUUUACACAACGGAUGUGAUGUCUGCAUUCUUCAUUUCGACAUUAAGCCUCACAACAUCCUGCUAGAUCAUAAUUUCAUCCCAAAGGUCUCAGACUUCGGCCUUGCAAAGUUUCAUCCCAAGGAAAAUGAUUUUGUGUCCAUCAGUGCCACAAGAGGAACCAUAGGAUACAUAGCACCUGAGCUGAUUUCAAGGAAUUUUGGAACUGUUUCUUGCAAGUCAGAUGUUUACGGUUUUGGGAUGGUGUUGUUGGAAAUGGCUGGAGGAAGAAGGAAUUCUAAUAUGAAUGCAACUCGUUCAAGCAAAGCAUAUUUCCCAUCUUGGGUAUAUGACCAAUUAAAUAAGGGAGGUGAUUUAGAGCUUCAGAAUAUUACUGAAAUUGAAUCCAUGAUAGCAAGGAAACUGUGUAUGAUUGGUUUGUGGUGUAUUCAGGUGAAGCCAGCUGAUCGCCCCUCUAUGACAAAAGUUUUGGAAAUGUUAGAAGGGAGUAUCGAAGAUUUGCAAAUGCCUCCGAAACCUUUCUUCUCUUCUUCUCGACAUAUCUCCGGAAGAGAGAUUGAAUCAGAUUCUUCAACAGAGUUGUUAGUGUCUGAAUCGAUUGAGGAAUGUUCUUUCAAUGAUAGUUAUGCUUAGUUUUGGCAAUGAUAUGUGUAAAAAAGAAAUAAAUUGUCCUCGUGCUACCAGAGCUUCUAUAACAUUAUGUUGAAAAAUUUCAGUACGAUUCAUUGUUUGAUGUGAAUAUUCCAAUUUUGCUCAUAUCGACCAGAAUAUGAUGUAGGUUUGUCAAGUGAUCAUGUACAUUCAUCAACCUUUUGCAAUUACCAAAAUGAUAUGCUUUGAACUCUCUGCUCCUGCUCAACUUAAUUUAGAGUACAAUUACCAAAGUAUAUGGGAGACACCUAAAUAUCACCAUACAUCCACUUUUGCUUAAUAGCUAAUAAUUCAAUCCCACAACAGUGGUGAAUUAAAAGACACAUAGUUCCCAUCAAUCCUAAACAUACCCUUAGUCUCACACUGAUAUAUCAUGGUAAGCGGAGGGUAGCUGCUAGGAAUUACCGGUUUUCUAAAGAACAUUACUUACUGAUCUUAAAAACAUAAUUUUCUCAUUUCCUACCUACAAAUUACUUUCACAACUCUCACUAAAAUCUAUAUCACAAACAGCAAGUUCCAUCCUGUUCCUCCAUGCAUCUGAUAUUGGCAGAUACUGAAGUUGACUAGUCUCUUUGGGGCUACCAUUGACUUAGAAAAAGGAGAAAAGAAAGAAGGAAAGAACAGAAGAAAUUAAAAGAAACCCAUUUUCCUACCUUUUUCCAUGACAAAUUGACAAUCAAACUCUCCUCUCCCUUAUUACUCCAAAAGCAUAACUCAAACUCUGCUCUAACUCAAACUCCGCUCUCCCUCCCUCCAUGUCCCUCGUGAUGAGUUUAAUAAUCCUCUUCCUCUUCUUACCAUACACAUGUACAUUAGCCAAAGCUUCUGCAGAGGACAACAAGACAGAUAAAUAUGAAUUCUGUCAACCAACAAAUUGCAGUAAUAGGAUCCCAAGUAUCAGAUAUCCCUUCAGACUCAAAACUCAACCAACAUCUUGUGGCCUUGAAGGGUUUGAAUUGUCAUCCUUAAGUGACAAGACAAUCUGGCAUCUUCCUUCCUCUGGUGAUUAUUAUGUCCAUGAAAUUUCUUAUCGGGACAGCAGUAUUACCAUUACAGAUGUGAAUGAGACAGCAUGCCCGUUUCAAAGCCUUAUCUCUUUCAACCUCACAAACUCCAAAUUCUUUUUUCUUCACUCUAAUGAAAGUUACGCUUUAUAUAACUGCACUGAGAAGGUUUCCCCAGGAUGGACUUCAUAUAGACGAAUUGGACCGAUCAAUUGUCUUAGCAAUGAAAACAAUCUUGUGUAUAUCAUAUAUAGCGAAUAUUUAAUGGAGGAAAUGCCUCCAUACUGCAGAAAAUCUCGAACAGUUGAGAUUCCUGGUGGAUUACCUCUGCAGGAUAUUGCAACGACGGCGAGGGCAAGACCAGUAGUCUUAGGAUGGGAAGCUCUUGAUGGAUGCUACGACUGCGAAAAAUCAGGGAAUUAUUGUGGGUUCAACACUACAAGCAAUUCGACAAUCUGCGUUUAUUGUGGGUUCAAUACUACAAGCAAUUCGACAAUCUGCGUUGCCGUUAAACACCAAAAACGUAAGUAGCCAUACUUUUUCUCAGUCACCCCUCUCUACAGUGCUUGAAAGUGAAAGCAUCGUCUCUAUUUAGCUAACAAUAAAAAUAAUAAGUUGAAUUUAUUAUCAUUGUUAUAUAUGCCGGAAAAUUUAUCAGAGCAGUGUAAAUGAAAAGAAAUAAUAAUAAAAAAAGGCUUUGCAUUAUUUUUUCAAUUGUAAAAGUGUAAUUACAAUUGCUAGAAGUUCAAAAUUAAAGAAGCCAUCUAUAUUUCACUUUUGGUUAGAUUUAGUUGAAUUCCGAUGGUGAGUUUUUCAAAAAAUUAACAAUUUGAACUGAAUUGAAAAUCCAAUCAAUUUGGUUCGAUUUAGUUAGGCUUUUUUUUUUUUAGUAAUGAUAUAGCCACAAACUCUUGUACAAACUUAUUUUGUACAAACUGAUGUGGCAUAAUAAGAUUGGUUGAAUUAAAUAUCACUUGGCCCGCAUGAUUUGUUUUUAUUAUUUUAUAUUUUCAUUUAACCAAUGAAUUAAUGCCACGUCAGUUUGUACAAAAUAAAUUUGUACAAGAAUUUGUGGCUGUAUCAUUACUCUUUUUUUUUCCCUUUGACCUGUAAUUUCUUUUGUGUUUUUCUAGUUUUUUGGCUUUUUAUUUUCUCUCAUAUAAAUCGAUGGAUUUUAUUUUUUAACCAAAAAAAAAACGACUAACGAUUCAUUUUUUUGGCGGCAAAUAUAAUUUUACCUACCCCUAAUCUAUAUGGCGAAUAUCAUUGCUAUUAAAGGCUGCUUUCUGGUAUUAGUGCCAGUUGUAGAUUGGUUAAUAAAAUGUUGCUAGCCAGGCUGAUUUGACUGUUUGAAGAAAAAUUGAUACUACUCAGGACCAAAUAGAUAGUACUAAUUUUCUCUAUCUCGUCAAUUUAAUCUUUGAAUCUUUAUAUUACAAUUAAUUUUCGUAAAUGGUGAGAGAUUGAUUAAACUCACAAUGCCUGAUAAAAGUUUAACCUAUUAUAUUUUCUUGCGCACUCAAUGAAUACAAAUUAAGAAGAAUUAUUAUACUAAUACUUUUUCUCUAUGAUUAAGUUAUUGAUGGAAAAUUUAUUGAGAAAAAAAUUUGUUCAAUCAAGUAACCCUCAAUAUUCACAUGGAAUAAGAGAUGAGGGGAAAAAAAUCAUUUUGUGAAUGCAGAAAGGGAAAAAAAAUACAUAAAGACAGAGAUUUCUAAUUGUGAUGAUUUUGGUGUUUUCAUUGUGUACUCAAGUAAAAGUUAAAAUUUUAAAAUUGAAGUGUGCAAGGCAAAAGAGUGCUUACUUUGCAGUUCAAAUAAUUUCAUCCUUUUGCUUAUUAUUAUUUUUUCAUUAUUUAGUUAAAUGAAAAUUAAUUAUCUAUCCACCCAUGUGAAGAAGAUACCUAAUUAUAAUUUAAGUUAUGAAAAAAUACCUAUAUAUGAGAUGGUCACAUGAGAGGGACUUGUUAAAACCCAAUCAAAUGAUAUUAGAGUCUUUAUGCUACCAAGUUAAGCUUGCACGGGUCCAGACUUUUAGCAUCUCAUUUCAUUGUUUGAGUUAAUUUUUUAACUAACUUUUCUUAGUUAUAUAUAACAGAUGGUCCUGGCCCUUUAUCUAUAAGUCUAAUAGCCACAGGCACAAGUAUUGGAGGCAUCACCCUCUUUGCGUUAGUGAUAUUUCUCAUUUACAGAUCAAGAGAAUCUGAAAAAGAAAAAGAGACUCAACUGAAGGUGGAGAAGUUCCUCGAAAACUACAGGACCGUCAAUCCCACCAGAUAUACUUACAAAGAACUGAAGAAAAUAACAAGCAGAUUUAAGCACAGGCUCGGUCAGGGAGGUUACGGAAGCGUGUUCCGAGGAAAACUCUUCAACGGAAUUCCAGUUGCUGUCAAGAUGUUGGAACAUUUAAAAGGAAAUGGACAAGAGUUCAUCAAUGAAGUGGCCACAAUUGGCAGGAUUCACCACUUCCACAUUGUUCGGCUUCUGGGAUUUUGCUCUGAAGGAAACAGGCGUGCUCUUAUUUACGAGUUUAUGCCCAAUGGAUCACUUGAGAAAUUCAUCUUCUCAAAGACAAAUAGCUCAAGUCAUCGUCAAUUGAGUUGGGAGAAGCUGAGGAAGAUUGCAUUUGGCAUUGCCCGUGGAGUGGAGUACUUGCACCAAGGAUGCAACCAGAGGAUCCUGCACUUCGAUAUCAAGCCUCACAAUAUAUUAUUAGACCAUAAUUUUCAACCGAAGAUUUCAGAUUUUGGACUGGCUAAGUUGUGCUCAAAGGACAUAAGCAUUGUAUCUCUGACAGCUGCCAGAGGCACUUCUGGCUACAUUGCACCUGAACUUUUCUCCAGGAAUUUUGGUGAGAUCUCUUACAAGUCUGAUGUUUACAGUUACGGAAUGAUGCUGUUAGAGAUGGUCGGAUGCAGAAAAAAUAAUGAUCCUGCGGUUGAAAUUCAGAGCCAAAUAUAUUUUCCGGAGUGGAUUUACAAUAGAAUGAGGCAAGGACAAGAGCUCUGUUUGGAAUUUGAGGAAGAUGGGGAUGAGGGAAUUGCCAGAAAGCUUGCAAUUGUGGAACUUUGGUGCAUUCAAU
rnacentral:lncRNA from 1 species